rnacentral:lncRNA from 1 species
CUCCAGGCACCUCUCCCUGCUCCCUGGGUUUCUCCAUGGGUGUUUUUGAGCCCCCACCUGGACUUCUGGGCGCCCCAGGACCCUCCUGGUGACUUUCCCUGUGCCCCAGUUCCCUCUGUCUGGCUUGCAGAGCAUCUCCUGGGGACCUGGCCCUGCCUCUCAUCCCACAGGGAGGGAGGAGGCAGAGGAGGGCAGCUGGGUGGGCUCCCCGAGCUCUCCCCAGUACCAGCAUGGCCCACAUGGCAGGAGGGGACCCCACUGUCACCUGGGUGCAGGGACAGGUCCAGAAGCAGAGGCGUGGGGACCUGAGCUUUGUGCACAACCCUGAUGAGAGCAACUCGUGUAAGGCAGAAGGCAGUGCUGAGGGACACACACCUUGCUGGGAAAGCAGCCGGGGUUAUCCAGGGGUGCUGAAGCAGGAGGCUGGAGCAGGGGGCCUCCCUGUGGAGAGAGGCACAAGGCAGCAAGCAGAACCUCCUGGAAGGUCCUGCCCACCUCACUUCAAGCCACAAAAUAACCUCCCUGUGCCAGCAUCACUGCUCAACCCCCGUGGUGCUUCUCCAACAGCGUCAGCAGAGGGUGGGGAGAGGGGUCUGGGGUGCUGAACUACAGAAUCAACUUUUGUGCAUCUGAGAGCAAACACCUCCCGGGGAGCAGACGGCAGCCUGGCUGCCAGGAUCCCCCAGCUCCCGGGACUGCAGGCAGAGGGAACGAGUCCAGCAGCUGCUCGGGGACUGUGGCCACAAGUCCUGGGUGGUUUGCAGGACUUGAGUCACCAGGAAGGGAAAGGCUGCCCGGCAGAGCCCGGCUGCUCACACCACGCAAACUGCCCACCAAAAGGCAAGUGCCAAGGUCUUAGUGCCACAGCAGCGGGGCAGGACGGUCCCUUUUCCUCUGGGAAGCUGGUUGAGAACACAUCAGCUGAGCUGUGGCUGUCGGACAGGCAGGGAGGGAGAGGAGGAACACCAGAGGUGCGAGGAGUCCCCGUGUCCAGGUGCGCUGCUGGAGCCACCCUCGCACCGCGCAGGGGCUGGGAGGAGGAGGAGGAAGGCCGGGAGGAAGGGGAGGAGCACCAGGCGGGCUGGCUGCAGUUCGAGCUGCUCGGACCCCUUCACAACUUCUGGAUCUUCUCGGCGAUAACGAUGGGGUUUUCCUUGCGGAUCUUCUCGGCAGCUUCUGCCUUGUAGUCGUAGGGGCAGGCGUGCAUGUCGGAGUACCGGUGAAUGGCACAGAACAGGUUCCCGCAGCGGCAGUCGAAGCCUGAGGGGAGGAAGAGCACGGACAAAGCCACAUCAGACCCCAUCCAGCGGAGCAGGAAGGCGGCAGGGCCUGGCUCCGGGCAAGGGAGGGGGCCUGCUGCUCCCCACAGGCCAAAGGGAUUCUUCAUUUGGGGAAGACCAUGGGUGGCUCUUUGCUCUCCUCUGGCUCAGGAGCUCUGUGUGCUUUGGGCAGCCCCAGCUGUCAUGCGGGAAAUGCUCCCAGAGCAGCUGCUGUCCGUGCUCCCCGGGGACAAGGGAUCUGCCAGGCACUGCAGAGUGCCAGAUUGCUAAUCCACACCAGGCUCCCCAGGCAGCCCGAGCUGCAGCUCAGCCCUGUGAGCCAGUCCAGCUCCCCAGGGUCACACAGCAGCAGCUGGACUGACCAGCAGCAAGCAGCAGAGCUGUCACCACCUUAGGAUCAUGUUUGAGCUGUUUAGGCUUCAAAACUCCCACUUUAGUUACUCCACUCUGAGACAAUGCUCAGAGUGCUACCAUUAACACAGCACACUGGGAAAGCAAGGCAGGGAGUGAGCAGGGGGUGUGCUGCAGGACAGCAGGGAAUCAUGCUCUGUCCCUUCACUUUUUUCUAACUACAGGCUGUAAAGUCCACAAACACCUUGCUCCAAGGUGCCAGUUUACUCCUGGUUGAGAAAACUCAUUUUAUCCUAAUUGCCCUGAAUUCACAGGAGUUCUCUGUAAGUUGAAUCCUAAAGAAGAGAACUUCUCAUAGUUUAAAGCUUGUAAGGAAACCCUCAUUCAGGAAAACAAUCCUCUCUGCACCCAGAUCCACAUUUAUAAACCCACCCCCUAUUCUAGGACAGUGUCCAUGGAUUUCCAGGCAAGCUCAGGUUCAAACUUUCCAGUCUAGACUUUGCCAAAGCCUCUUAUAGCCAUGAAAACAGCCAGUCCCUGGCUGCUGGAUGCCCCAAGCAGGCUACAAAACCAAGUGCUCUGCCAGAACAGCAUGACCUGCACAGCUCCAGAGUUAACUUUUUUCCAGAGAAGUACUAAAUGCCAGAGAUAAUGUUUUUAUUAGCAAACCACAGCCAAAUUAAUUGCUUCACUUUCCAGAAGCUGUUUUGCCAUUGAUAGCAGUGCCCUGACAGCACUUCUCUCUUCAGCUUUACAGGCUGCACGCUGAGAGCCAUCCUGCUCUCAGGAAGCUAACAGUGGAAAUCAGGCAGCAUUAACAAAGGGGAUGAGUCUUGGAGAGGGAUUUUCC